rnacentral:rRNA from 1 species
AUUUAUUCUCUAGUAACGAAGCUAACGCGUGAAGUUGACCGCUUGGGAGUACGGUCGCAAGAUAAAACUCAAAGGAAUGACGGGGCCCGCACAAGCGGUGGAUGAUGUGGAUUAAUUCGAUGCAACGCGAAAAACCUUACCUACGCUUGACAUGUCCGAAAGCCUGAAGAGAUUUAGGUGUGCUCGAAAGAGAAUCGGAACACAGGUGCUGCAUGGCUGUCGUCAGCUCGUGUCGUGAGAUGUUGGGUUAAGUCCCGCAACGAGCGCAACCCUUGUCAUUAGUUGCUACAUUUAGUUGGGCACUCUAAUGAGACUGCCGGUGACAAACCGGAGGAAGGUGGGGAUGACGUCAAGUCCUCAUGGCCCUUAUGCGUAGGGCUUCACACGUCAUACAAUGGUCGGUACAGAGGGUCGCUAACCCGCGAGGGGGUGCCAAUCUCAGAAAGCCGAUCGUAGUCCGGAUCGUAGUCUGCAACUCGACUACGUGAAGUCGGAAUCGCUAGUAAUCGCGGAUCAGCAUGUCGCGGUGAAUACGUUCCCGGGCCUUGUACACACCGCCCGUCACACCAUGGGAGCGGGUUUUACCAGAAGUAGCUAGGCUAACCGCAAGGAGGCCGGUUACCACGGUAGGAUUCGUGACGAGAGUGAAGUCGUAACAAGGUAGCCGUAAAUCGAAUUCCGAGA